ensembl:lncRNA
AAUCUCCAAUUUAAAGAAACAGAUCUUGCUGCCAGAGACAAAAGCCUUCACUCCAUUCCAUCAUUUCACCUUCCAGGCAGAAACAAGUUCAAGUGAUGGCCAGCUUGUGAAGCUUCCAGCGCUCCCUCCAUGAUGACCCCCAGGGGACCCAGCCUACCUUGAACUAGCUUACAGCUCUACCACUUAGCUGCUGGGAAAGCACCAGAAACUGCUCCUCCUUUUUCAAUACAGCUUGGACAACACCAGGAAGAUGCUACUGUUCUGACUCUGGUCCUGUGCCCCAUGCACAAUGGCUGAGGAUGGAAUGAGAUGGCUGGAGUAAGAAAAGGAGGAGAGUCAGCGUGCCCAGCAGAUAAGCCUCAGACCCACAGGAACCAGGUUCCCCUGGGUGCUGCUGCCCUGGCCAUGGUGGAGGGAUUCCCCACAGCCUUCCCACAGUCCACAAGGGCCCUGCCAUUGAACCUGGUUGUGGCCCAGACUUCUGUUUCCAGGGUCUCAUCUCGGUGUUAAAGAUUCCACCUGCAAUGCAGGAGACACAGGAGAUGCGGGUUUGAUUCCUGGGUCAGGAAGAUCCCCUGGAGGAACGCACUGCAACCCAUUCUAGUAUUCUUGCCUGGAGAAUCCCAUGGACAGAGGAGCCUGGACAGAGGGCUACAGUCCAUAGCUUGCCUUCUCAGAGAGGCUUCCCCUGACCACUUUCUCUAAAAUCGCACCCACCCCAGGUCCCUUGAAAACCUCAUGCUUUUUCUUUCCCCUCUAGCACUUACUGCUGUCUGAAGUUAGUUUACUUGUUUCUUGUUCUUCUGAUGUUCUUCUCCAUAAGAACAUCAGAGAGAGGUUUCUCUCAUGGCCCAGUGGUAAAGAAUCCCCUGGCCAAUGCAGGAGACAUGGGUUCAAUCCCUGGUCCCACAUGCUGUGGAGCAUCUAAGCCCGUGCACCCAUGUAACUACAGACCCUGUGCUCUAGAAUCUGGGAACCACAGCUACUGAAACCCAAGCACCCUGGAGCCCAUGCUCUGCAAUCAGAGAAGCCAUGGC